rnacentral:rRNA from 1 species
CUCACUAGUCGAGAGAUCUUGCGCCGAAAAUGUAACGGGGCUAAACUUACCACCGAAGCUACGGGCUUGAACUUAGUUCAAGCGGUAGGAGAGCGUCGUAACCGGGCUGAAGUCGUACCGUAAGGAGCGGUGGACUGGUUACGAGUGAGAAUGUUGGCAUCAGUAGCGAGAUGUGGGUGAGAAUCCCACAGGCCGAAAACCUAAGGUUUCCUCAGGAAGGUUCGUCCGCUGAGGGUUAGUCGGGACCUAAGCCGAGGCCGAAAGGCGUAGGUGAUGGACAACUGGUUGAUAUUCCAGUACCACUACCAUCGUUAUUAUCGAUGGCGUGACGCAGGAGGAUAGUGUGUGCUAGCUAUUGGAUGCUAGUCUAAGCGUUUAGGCAGUGAGAGUAGGCAAAUCCGCUCUCAUAAUGCUGAGGCGUGAUGGGGAAGGUUCUACGGAACCGAAGUACAUGAUUCCACGCUGCCAAGAAAAG